UACGGAGGACCCAAGCGUUAUCCGGAUUUAUUGGGUUUAAAGGGUGCGUAGGCGGCUUUUUAAGUCAGGGGUGAAAGACGGUAGCUCAACUACCGCAGUGCCUUUGAUACUGAAGGGCUUGAAUACACUAGAGGUAGGCGGAAUGUGACAAGUAGCGGUGAAAUGCAUAGAUAUGUCACAGAACACCGAUUGCGAAGGCAGCUUACUAUGGUGUGAUUGACGCUGAGGCACGAAAGCGUGGGGAU
rnacentral:rRNA from 1 species